rnacentral:rRNA from 1 species
GGGUUGUGAGGUUAAGCGACUAAGCGUACACGGUGGAUGCCCUGGCAGUCAGAGGCGAUGAAGGACGUGCUAAUCUGCGAAAAGCGUCGGUAAGGUGAUAUGAACCGUUAUAACCGGCGAUGUCCGAAUGGGGAAACCCAGUGCAAUUCGUUGCACUAUCGUUAACUGAAUACAUAGGUUAACGAGGCGAACCGGGGGAACUGAAACAUCUAAGUACCCCGAGGAAAAGAAAUCAACCGAGAUUCCCCCAGUAGCGGCGAGCGAACGGGGAGCAGCCCAGAGUCUGAAUCAGCUUGUGUGUUAGUGGAACGGUCUGGAAAGUCCGACGGUACAGGGUGAUAGUCCCGUACACCAAAAUGCACAGGUUGUGAACUCGAAGAGUAGGGCGGGACACGUGGUAUCCUGUCUGAAUAUGGGGGGACCAUCCUCCAAGGCUAAAUACUCCUGACUGACCGAUAGUGAACCAGUACCGUGAGGGAAAGGCGAAAAGAACCCCGGCGAGGGGAGUGAAAAAGAACCUGAAACCGUGUACGUACAAGCAGUGGGAGCACCUUCGGGUGUGACUGCGUACCUUUUGUAUAAUGGGUCAGCGACUUAUAUUCUGUAGCAAGGUUAACCGUAUAGGGGAGCCGCAGGGAAACCGAGUCUUAACUGGGCGUUAAGUUGCAGGGUAUAGACCCGAAACCCGGUGAUCUAGCCAUGGGCAGGUUGAAGGUUGGGUAACACUAACUGGAGGACCGAACCGACUAAUGUUGAAAAAUUAGCGGAUGACUUGUGGCUGGGGGUGAAAGGCCAAUCAAACCGGGAGAUAGCUGGUUCUCCCCGAAAGCUAUUUAGGUAGCGCCUCGUGAAUUCAUCUUCGGGGGUAGAGCACUGUUUCGGCUAGGGGGUCAUCCCGACUUACCAACCCGAUGCAAACUACGAAUACCGAAGAAUGUUAUCACGGGAGACACACGGCGGGUGCUAACGUCCGUCGUGAAGAGGGAAACAACCCAGACCGCCAGCUAAGGUCCCAAAGUCAUGGUUAAGUGGGAAACGAUGUGGGAAGGCACAGACAGCCAGGAUGUUGGCUUAGAAGCAGCCAUCAUUUAAAGAAAGCGUAAUAGCUCACUGGUCGAGUCGGCCUGCGCGGAAGAUGUAACGGGGCUAAACCAUGCACCGAAGCUGCGGCAGCGACACUAUGUGUUGUUGGGUAGGGGAGCGUUCUGUAAGCCUGCGAAGGUGACCUGUGAGGGUUGCUGGAGGUAUCAGAAGUGCGAAUGCUGACAUAAGUAACGAUAAAGCGGGUGAAAAGCCCGCUCGCCGGAAGACCAAGGGUUCCUGUCCAACGUUAAUCGGGGCAGGGUGAGUCGACCCCUAAGGCGAGGCCGAAAGGCGUAGUCGAUGGGAAACAGGUUAAUAUUCCUGUACUUGGUGUUACUGCGAAGGGGGGACGGAGAAGGCUAUGUUAGCCGGGCGACGGUUGUCCCGGUUUAAGCAUGUAGGCUGGUUGUCCAGGCAAAUCCGGAUAAUCAAGGCUGAGGUGUGAUGACGAGGCACUACGGUGCUGAAGUAACAAAUGCCCUGCUUCCAGGAAAAGCCUCUAAGCAUCAGGUAACAU